rnacentral:rRNA from 1 species
CUUCCGUAGGUGAACCUGCGGAAGGAUCAUUACCGAGUGCGGGUCCUUUGGGCCCAACCUCCCAUCCGUGUCUAUUGUACCCUGUUGCUUCGGCGGGCCCGCCGCUUGUCGGCCGCCGGGGGGGCGCCUCUGCCCCCCGGGCCCGUGCCCGCCGGAGACCCCAACACGAACACUGUCUGAAAGCGUGCAGUCUGAGUUGAUUGAAUGCAAUCAGUUAAAACUUUCAACAAUGGAUCUCUUGGUUCCGGCAUCGAUGAAGAAC